AGCCGCGGUAAUUCCAGCUCUCAAAAUGCAUAGAAUUAUUGCUGCGGUUAAAAAGCUCGUAGUUGGAUCUGUGCCGACAGACUGGUCCAUCUUCGGAUGCGUACUGGUUAUUGUCGGCUUUCCUGCAGUUUUGCGGCUCAGUGCCUCUCACGGGGUGCAGUGUCCGUUGCUGCAAGUUUACUUUGAACAAAUCAGAGUGCUCUAAACAGGCGUUUCGCUUGAAUGUUCGUGCAUGGAAUAAUAGAAGAGGAUUUCGGUUCUAUUUUAUUGGUUUUAUAGACUGAGAUAAUGGUUAACAGAGACAAACGGGGGCAUUCGUAUUGCUACGUGAGAGGUGAAAUUCUUGGACCGUAGCAAGACGAACUACAGCGAAAGCAUUUGCCAAGAAUGUCUUCAUUAAUCAAGAACGAAAGUCAGAGGUUCGAAGGCGAUCAGAUACCGCCCUAGU
rnacentral:rRNA from 1 species